rnacentral:rRNA from 1 species
AUUGAACGCUGGCGGUAUGCUUAACACAUGCAAGUCGAACGGUAGCAGGCCUUCGGGCGCUGACGAGUGGCGGACGGGUGAGUAACGCGUAGGAAUCUGCCUCAUAGUGGGGGACAACGUGGGGAAACUCACGCUAAUACCGCAUACACCCUACGGGGGAAAGCGGGGGCUCUUCGGACCUCGCGCUAUGAGAUGAGCCUGCGUUAGAUUAGCUAGUUGGUAGGGUAAAAGCCUACCAAGGCGACGAUCUAUAGCUGGUCUGAGAGGACGAUCAGCCACACGGGGACUGAGACACGGCCCAGACUCCUACGGGAGGCAGCAGUGGGGAAUAUUGGACAAUGGGCGCAAGCCUGAUCCAGCAAUACCGCGUGUGUGAAGAAGGCCCUAGGGUUGUAAAGCACUUUCAAUUGGGAGGAAAACCUGCCGGUCAAUACCCGGCAGCUUGACAUUACCUUUAGAAGAAGCACCGGCUAACUCCGUGCCAGCAGCCGCCGUAAAAC